CCUACGGGAGGCAGCAGUAGGGAAUAUUGCUCAAUGGGGGAAACCCUGAAGCAGCAACGCCGCGUGGAGGAUGAAGGUUUUCGGAUUGUAAACUCCUUUUGUUAGAGAAGAUAAUGACGGUAUCUAGCGAAUAAGCACCGGCUAACUCCGUGCCAGCAGCCGCGGUAAUACGGAGGGUGCAAGCGUUAGUCGGAAUCACUGGGCGUAAAGAGCGCGUAGGCGGGAUAGCAAGUCAGAUGUGAAAUCCUAAGGCUUAACCAUAGAACUGCAUUUGAAACUGUUAAUCUUGAGUAUGGGAGAGGUUAGUGGAAUUCCUGGGGGAGGGGUAAAAUCCGUAGAGAUCAAGAGGAAUACGCGUUGCGAAGGCGACCAUCUAGAACAUAACUGACGCUGAUGCGCGAAAGCGUGGGGAGCAAACAGGAUUAGAUACCCUUGUAGUC
rnacentral:rRNA from 1 species